rnacentral:rRNA from 1 species
AGCAGUCGCCGCGGUAAUACGGAGGGUGCAAGCGUUAAUCGGAAUUACUGGGCGUAAAGCGCACGCAGGCGGUCUGACAAGUCAGAUGUGAAAUCCCCGGGCUUAACCUGGGAACUGCAUUUGAAACUGUCAGGCUGGAGUCUUGUAGAGGGGGGUAGAAUUCCAGGUGUAGCGGUGAAAUGCGUAGAGAUCUGGAGGAAUACCGGUGGCGAAGGCGGCCCCCUGGACAAAGACUGACGCUCAGGUGCGAAAGCGUGGGGAGCAAACAGGAUUAGAGACCCGUGUAGUCCCUGUCUCUUAUAA